rnacentral:miRNA from 1 species
AGCUGUCAGUUUCUUAGUAGAUA